rnacentral:rRNA from 1 species
GGCUCAGGAUGAACGCUAGCGGCAGGCCUAAUACAUGCAAGUCGAACGGUYRKUAGCAAUAACAAUAGUGGCGCACGGGUGCGUAACGCGUARCCAACCUACCCGAAUCUGGGGGAUAGCCCGCCGAAAGGCGGAUUAAUACCGCAUAAAACCACAGARYGGCAUCRYUUAAUGGUUAAAGAUUUAUUGGAUUCGGAUGGGGYUGCGUGCCAUUAGCUAGUUGGGGAGGUAACGGCUCACCAAGGCGACGAUGGCUAGGGGAGCUGAGAGGCUGGUCCCCCACACGGGCACUGAGAUACGGGCCCGACUCCUACGGGAGGCAGCAGUAGGGAAUAUUGGGCAAUGGGCGAGAGCCUGACCCAGCCAUGCCGCGUGCAGGAUGAAGGCUUUCUGAGUCGUAAACUGCUUUUAYCAGGGAAGAAAAAA